rnacentral:rRNA from 1 species
UACGAAGGGAGCUAGCGUUGCUCGGAAUCACUGGGCGUAAAGCGCACGUAGGCGGCUUUCUAAGUCAGGGGUGAAAUCCUGGAGCUCAACUCCAGAACUGCCUUUGAUACUGGAGAGCUCGAGUCCGGAAGAGGUGAGUGGAACUGCGAGUGUAGAGGUGAAAUUCGUAGAUAUCGAGAAGAACACCGGUGGCGAAGGCGGCCAUCUGGACGGUGACUGACGCUGAGACGCGAAAGCGUGGGGAGCAAACAGG